UACGUAGGGUGCAAGCGUUGUCCGGAAUUAUUGGGCGUAAAGAGCUCGUAGGCGGUUUGUCGCGUCUGCUGUGAAAACGCGAGGCUCAACCUCGCGCCUGCAGUGGGUACGGGCAGACUAGAGUGUGGUAGGGGAGAUUGGAAUUCCUGGUGUAGCGGUGAAAUGCGCAGAUAUCAGGAGGAACACCGAUGGCGAAGGCAGGUCUCUGGGCAUUAACUGACGCUGAGGAGCGAAAGCAUGGGGAGCGAACAGG
rnacentral:rRNA from 1 species